GCCAGCCUAGUGUAGUGGUUUGAACAUUGGACUAUGAUUCUGGAGACCAGGAUUCGAUUCCCUGCUUGGCC